rnacentral:rRNA from 1 species
GAUGAACGCUGGCGGCGUGCCUAAUACAUGCAAGUCGAGCGAACACACGAGGAGCUUGCUCCUCUGACGUUAGCGGCGGACGGGUGAGUAACACGUGGAUAACCUACCUAUAAGACUGGGAUAACUUCGGGAAACCGGAGCUAAUACCGGAUAAUAUAUUGAACCGCAUGGUUCAAUAGUGAAAGACGGUUUUGCUGUCACUUAUAGAUGGAUCCGCGCCGCAUUAGCUAGUUGGUAAGGUAACGGCUUACCAAGGCAACGAUGCGUAGCCGACCUGAGAGGGUGAUCGGCCACACUGGAACUGAGACACGGUCCAGACUCCUACGGGAGGCAGCAGUAGGGAAUCUUCCGCAAUGGGCGAAAGCCUGACGGAGCAACGCCGCGUGAGUGAUGAAGGUCUUCGGAUCGUAAAACUCUGUUAUUAGGGAAGAACAAACGUGUAAGUAACUAUGCACGUCUUGACGGUACCUAAUCAGAAAGCCACGGCUAACUACGUG